rnacentral:rRNA from 1 species
UACGAAGGGGGCUAGCGUUGUUCGGAUUUACUGGGCGUAAAGCGCACGUAGGCGGAUCGUUAAGUCGGUGGUGAAAUCCUGGAGCUCAACUCCAGAACUGCCCUCGAUACUGGCGAUCUUGAGUCCGGAAGAGGUGAGUGGAACUCCUAGUGUAGAGGUGAAAUUCGUAGAUAUUAGGAAGAACACCGGUGGCGAAGGCGGCCCACUGGAUCGGCAUUGACGCUGAGGCGCGAAAGCCAGGGGAGCAAACGGG